AAACGACUCUCGGCAACGGUAUCUCGGUCUC
rnacentral:rRNA from 1 species